AUACGGAGGGUGCAAGCGUUACUCGGAAUCACUGGGCGUAAAGCGCGCGCAGGCGGCUAUUUAAGUUGGAUGUGAAAGCCUACGGCUCAACCGUAGAACUGCAUCCAAAACUAUUUAGCUAGAGUGUGAGAGAGGAAGAUGGAAUUAGUUGUGUAGGGGUAAAAUCCGUAGAGAUAACUAGGAAUACCAAAAGCGAAGGCAAUCUUCUGGAACACUACUGACGCUGAGGCGCGAAAGCGUGGGGAGCAAACGGAAUUAGAUACCCUAGUAGUCC
rnacentral:rRNA from 1 species